rnacentral:rRNA from 1 species
CUACGUGCCAGCAGCCGCGGUAAUACGGAGGGUGCGAGCGUUAAUCGGAAUAACUGGGCGUAAAGGGCACGCAGGCGGUGACUUAAGUGAGGUGUGAAAGCCCCGGGCUUAACCUGGGAAUUGCAUUUCAUACUGGGUCGCUAGAGUACUUUAGGGAGGGGUAGAAUUCCACGUGUAGCGGUGAAAUGCGUAGAGAUGUGGAGGAGUACCGAAGGCGAAGGCAGCCCCUUGGGAAUGUACUGACGCUCAUGUGCGAAAGCGUGGGGAGCAAACAGGAUUAGAUACCCUGGUAGUCCACGCUGUAAACGAUGUCGAUUUGGGGGUUGAACUUUAGGUUUGGCGCCCGUAGCUAACGUGAUAAAUCGACCGCCUGGGGAGUACGGCCGCAAGGUUAAAACUCAAAUGAAUUGACGGGGGCCCGCACAAGCGGUGGAGCAUGUGGUUUAAUUCGAUGCAACGCGAAGAACCUUACCUACUCUUGACAUCCAGAGAACAUUC